GCACACAGAAGUGGCAGCUUUGGCUGUUUCUUCUCCCACUCACGCUUCUUCCCCGUUAUCAUUUCUUAUUCUUUAAACUAUUUUCAAACAUAGCUUAUGUUCAAAAUCCAUUUGUUUCGGGCAAAACAAUGGCUAUCUUUGUUGAAGAUUCCCUGGUGUUAUCCAUUUUUUGUGUUCUUUGCUCUUUUGUUUUGUUUUUUUUAUGGGAUUUUUCAGCUUUCCAUAUGGAACUGAUUCUAGAGAUAAGUGUUCCUUAUCCCCUGAAAAUUGAAAAGGGAUGAUUCUCCCUUCUUCUCUGUACCUUCUUUUCUCUUCAAAAUGGCAAUUCCACUUGUACUGCUCGCAGCCCCCACCCAUAUUCAAAGCAAAUACUCCUCCAACUUUUCUGAUUGAAGGACAGAUUCUAUGUGCUUGAAGAGGAAAUGAAGAUUGCCAAGAUGGGUUUUCAGAGUUAUUUACAAGGACAACUUUGAUUUUAUGUUGGGUUAGUUAUUUUUUAUUUUAAAUAAGAUUUUAGUAUUUUUGCUAAAUUUUAUUAGUAGAUAAAAAGAGAAGAAAGAUUAUUGCUUUUUGUUGAUUAGAGUGGCCAGAAAGUGGAGUUUGCGCUUAAAACGGUAAAUGACUGGUUCAAAUAAAGUGAAGCGAACAGUCGUGAUGCAGUUGAGGAGGAGGUAGAAGACGAAAAUGAAAAAGAGGCAAAAAGGGGUAGCCAUUGAUGUUAUAUAAAUGUAGUAUUUUUUGGUUCAAAGGUUUUUUUUUUUUUUGGUUAACGUGGAUAUCCAGUCAGCUUAUAUAUACAUCGAUUAAUUUUAUAAAUCUCAAGUUAAUGAUCA